AGAGUUUGAUUCUGGCUCAGAUUGAACGCUGGCGGCAUGCUUUACACAUGCAAGUCGAACGGUAACAGGCCGCAAGGUGCUGACGAGUGGCGAACGGGUGAGUAAUGCAUCGGAACGUGCCCAGUCGUGGGGGAUAACGCAGCGAAAGCUGUGCUAAUACCGCAUACGAUCUAUGGAUGAAAGCGGGGGACCGUAAGGCCUCGCGCGAUUGGAGCGGCCGAUGUCAGAUUAGCUAGUUGGUGGGGUAAAGGCCCACCAAGGCGACGAUCUGUAGCUGGUCUGAGAGGACGACCAGCCACACUGGGACUGAGACACGGCCCAGACUCCUACGGGAGGCAGCAGUGGGGAAUUUUGGACAAUGGGCGCAAGCCUGAUCCAGCAAUGCCGCGUGCAGGAAGAAGGCCUUCGGGUUGUAAACUGCUUUUGUACGGAACGAAACGGUCUGGGUUAAUACCUCGGGCUAAUGACGGUACCGUAAGAAUAAGCACCGGCUAACUACGUGCCAGCAGCCGCGGUAAUACGUAGGGUGCAAGCGUUAAUCGGAAUUACUGGGCGUAAAGCGUGCGCAGGCGGUGAUGUAAGACAGUCGUGAAAUCCCCGGGCUCAACCUGGGAAUUGCGAUUGUGACUGCAUCGCUGGAGUGCGGCAGAGGGGGAUGGAAUUCCGCGUGUAGCAGUGAAAUGCGUAGAUAUGUGGAGGAACACCAAUGGCGAAGGCAGCCCCCUGGGAUAACACUGACGCUCAUGUACGAAAGCGUGGGUAGCAAACAGGAUUAGAUACCCUGGUAGUCCACGCCCUAAACGAUGUCAACUGGUUGUUGGGGGAGUGAAAUCCCUUAGUAACGAAGCUAACGCGUGAAGUUGACCGCCUGGGGAGUACGGUCGCAAGAUUAAAACUCAAA
rnacentral:rRNA from 1 species